rnacentral:rRNA from 1 species
UACGUAGGAUGCAAGCGUUGUCCGGAAUUAUUGGGCGUAAAGAGCGCGCAGGCGGUCUAUCAAGUCAGAUGUGAAAUAUCCGGGCUUAACCCGGAGGGGUCAUUUGAAACUGGUAGACUAGAGUACAGCAGAGGAUAGCGGAAUUCCUGGUGUAGCGGUGAAAUGCGCAGAUAUCAGGAGGAACACCGGUGGCGAAGGCGGAUCUCUGGGCCUUACCUGACGCUGAGGCGCGAAAGCUAGGGGAGCAAACAGG